rnacentral:rRNA from 1 species
UGGGGAAUUUUGGACAAUGGGGGAAACCCUGAUCCAGCCAUCCCGCGUGUGCGAUGAAGGCCUUCGGGUUGUAAAGCACUUUUGGCAGGAAAGAAACGUCGCGGGUUAAUACCCCGCGAAACUGACGGUACCUGCAGAAUAAGCACCGGCUAACUACGUGCCAGCAGCCGCGGUAAUACGUAGGGUGCAAGCGUUAAUCGGAAUUACUGGGCGUAAAGCGUGCGCAGGCGGUUCGGAAAGAAAGAUGUGAAAUCCCAGAGCUUAACUUUGGGAACUGCAUUUUUAACUACCGGGCUAGAGUGUGUCAGAGGGAGGUGGAAUUCCGCGUGUAGCAUGAAAUGCGUAGAUAUGCGGAGGAACACCGGAUGGCGAAGGCAGCCUCCUGGGAUAACACUGACGCUCAUGCACGAAAGCGUGGGGAGCAAACAGGAUUAGAUACCCUGGUAGUCCACGCCCUAAACGAUGUCAACUAGCUGUUGGGGCCUUCGGGCCUUGGUAGCGCAGCUAACGCGUGAAGUUGACCGCCUGGGGAGUACGGUCGCAAGAUUAAAACUCAAAGGAA